rnacentral:tRNA from 1 species
GCUAAAAAAGCCAAAAAGAGGCAUUGGUCUUGUAAAUCAAUCAUUGGGGAAUACCCCUUUUAGCU